GAUGUGUCUAGGUUCAGUUGCUUCGUGUAAAAUUGUGUGACGUGUAUCCAUCACAUAAACUUCCCCGCUUCUGCAUUCGGUGAAGUGGUAAACCCAAGAUAUCAGUAAUUUUUAGACGAGGAAUUCAAGACCAAGAUAAACAGAAGAGACACCUAGAAGUUAUUUAUUCUUCAAAUCUUUCUAAGAUCCAGUAAACAACUUAACAAGGUCUGCAUCGUAAAGUUGGACUCGGAGACGGAGUCGGAGCGGAGGUAACGAAGGCGGCAGCGGACAGGACCGCCAGAACUUACCGGUCCCGAUAUAGGCGAUACGCAGUGUGCCACUUGCCACCGAGGCAACAGACAACAGUUGAUGCCAACGACACGUCCCCAACUGGAAACUAGACAACAUGGAGCUCCAAACGAUGAAAGUGUGGAGCUUGAAGAUUGCUGUACUUUUUUACUUGACUUUUUCAGUUGUUGCCUCUAGUGAGAUGUUCUUGGAACCCGGUGUUUUCGAAGUAGAAAUUUCUCUUUCACCAUCGAAUUCGGAAACGAUGGAUGCUUUUGAGUAUUUUAUGAUGCAGAAGAGCAUGUACGCAAACUCUGAGAUAGGAGUCGAAGUGCUGAAUUGCAGUUCAGACCCAAAGGAUUGUAAAUUUACUCUUGAGUGGGCAGUUCGUCAAUCUGAUUGUGAUGGUGUUUACAGCUCAAUUUUUGCAGAUUCAAAUGCUACUGCAAGUUCGGAGAAUAUGAAACAGAUCUACAAUGAACCGAAUUGCUUCAUUCUGCUUGAGGAGAACUCAAUAUCGUAUGUAAAGAGUAUUGAUGUGAAACCCAAUCCAGAAAUAUCUUGUGCUCAAGAUAGUGAAGCAACCCAUGAUAAGUUGAAUGACCUGAAAGGAAAUAACUGGGAAUGCUCCAAGCGGGAUAAAACCAGUACAGUCUGUAACAAGAAACCAUUCUGUGGUCCUAAAGUAGAAGAGAAGAAAACAUCUGAUACCAAAUCUGAUGAUGGCUCUAAAGAUGAGACAAAUGCUGAAUCCAGUAAAGAUGAUACAGCAGCAGAUACAAAGCCAGCAGAUCCCAACAGUGACAAGAGAAGGAAAAGGGCAGCUGAAAACCCUCCAGCGGCGGAUCCACCUGCUGCAGGCGAAGAAAAGGCGGAUCCACCUGCUGCUGAUACUCCAGCAGGUGAAGAAAAGGGGGAUCCACCUGCUGCUGGCAUUGAAAAAGGUGGAGAUGCGGAAAAUGGAGACAAGGCGGCAGAAGCAGGAGACAAAGAUCAGAAAGCAGAAGUCAAAUCUACAGCCGUUAUUGCUACCAAUGAUACACUGCUGAAGUACCGUGUUGUCCAUACAAACGUUAAAGAUGGCCGCUUUAUCUUUGUUGUAUAUGUGACUUCACAAAGUGCAAAACAAAUGAAUAUCUCAAUGAGAAUAAGAAUGAAAUCUUCACACGGUUACUUGUCAGCUACACAGUAUCCCCUUCUUCCUUUCUAUGGAGUGAUGUGUGCUAUGUAUAGCAUACUAGGUUUGAUAUGGAUGAUACUUCUCUUCAGACAAUGGAGAGAUCUUCUCAGAAUUCAAUUUUGGAUCUCUGUUGUCAUCAUUCUAGGGCUAAUUGAGAAGGCUGCUUUUGUAGCGGAGUUUGAACGUCACAACAAUUCUGGUUCCAAUUCAUCGGCCGGUAUCUUCUUUGCUGAGGAAUUGUCUGUAUUGAAGCGUACUAUGGCUCGUAUGCUUGUCAUUGUUGUCAGCUUGGGAUAUGGCAUCACCAGACCUCGUUUGGGUCGAGAUCUCAACUGGUUGCUUGGUGCUGGUGUUAUGUUCUUCUUGCUUUCUUCCAUUGAGUCAUACUUCAGGAUAUUUGAGCCGAACAAGUCCAACGACCUGAUAGCCCUCCUUCCUAUAUCAGUAUUGGAUGCUGUAGUCUGCUGGUGGAUUUUCCGGAGUCUGGUAGAUACGAGUCGCACGCUUCGUUUGAGGCGUAACUUGGUGAAACUCUGGCUCUAUCGGCAUUUCACCAAUGCCCUCAUCUUCUGUGUAGUAGCAGCUGUAAUCUUCCUAGUGUGGUCUCUUAAAGCACAUAGGAUGACCAAGUGUGUCAAGAACUGGAAUGAGAUCUGGGUGGAUGAUGCCUACUGGCACAUCCUAUUCUGUGUGAUCUUGAUUGUGAUCAUGAUCCUCUUCAGACCCACAGCUAACAAUCAGCGUUAUGCUUACUCUGUGCUCAGCGAUGCGGUUGAUGAUGAUGAGAGUAAAGAACCCAUGAUGAAUGAUGCCUUUGAGAAUGUAAAGAUGCGGAAUGUACAUUCAAACAAGUCCAGCAACCAACAUAAGGAAGUAGAUGAUCUCCAAUGGGUAGAAGAUAACAUUCCAGCUGCUGUGGCCGAUGCGGCCCUUGGUGCUUUUGAUGAUUCGGAGGAAGAACUCAUUACAAAUGUGGAAAGGAACAAGAUGGAAUGAACAACAUCAUGGUAAAUAAUCCAAGAUAUGGAGUGAAAUGAAUAUACUUGAAAGGAUGUACAGAUGUUAGAGAUGAGUAUUCUUCAUUGUGUUUGUGUCUGUAUUGGAAAUAGAGGACAUGUUAAGUGAUAUAGGCCUGUGUUCUGAUCUCUGGUUUAAUUUAAACUCUGGUCUGAAGUUGUGGUUUAACUAUGGAUAGCCAAACGUGAAGGAAAUUGCUGAUGGUACAGUUUCAAUUUAUCAGCUCAUUAACACACUCAAAUAAUUCAUACUGUCUGGGAGUAAUGACUAGAACAGUUUUCACACCAUUAAAUCAUUACAAAAGAUCUAAAGUAACAAAAAUUAUUUAAAAAAAAAAUUGUUAACAAAAUUUUGAAAUAUUUGGGCUUCCCAUAGUUUUAGCACAGAGUUAGACCAUGAAUUAAGUUUAACUUCAGAAUAACAGAGGGAAAGGUAAUCAUAAGGAGGGAUGUUUCUCUGAUAAUUCCAAUGCAUUCAUCCAACUAGAUGUUGUACAACUGCAGCUGGGUUUCUAUGUGGUCUAUAAUUCUUAUGAUUAUGAAGGUGACCAUGGAGAUAUUGACAGUGUCUAAGCUCGGCUUAGAUCUUGAUUAUAUAUGUAGCCGUAGGUUGAAAUGUUAACAGAAGGGCAGUUCCAUCGGGUAUGUAUGUCCAACACCCCUAUAUAUUGUACUUUCCUGACGUGAUUUAUCCCUGUUUUCCAGUUUGUUUUGGUGGUUGUUCUCAAAUGUUCUCGAAUUGUAAUGGCUUAAACAGUUCAUGAAGGGAAGUAAGAAGGGGGAAAAAUGGGGGUCAAACAUAUGUUAUGGAAUUGCCCAGAAGAUUAUGUAAAGUGUGAUUUAUUCUUGUACCUUCAAUGCCUUAAAUCCAUCAGUUCAUCAUGAAGAAGUAUUCGCCUGAUUCUGGGCACAGAUGCGUAAAAGCUGCUGUUGUAACUUUGCCAUCCAGUAAGUUGUAGCUACCAUGGUAGCAAUGAUCAGCAUCCAAUCACAACGACGGAUUCCAUGGGAGCUAUUAAUAAUGGCAGGGUUUUUGUGACAGGAUCCUGAUGUACUAUGACAAAGCUCGGCAACAUGUUUCAUAGAUUUUGUAUAGUCGCCCAACUUGUGCUAAGAAGUAGGUCAAUUUGUACCCUUCAAGCCUACCUAAAAGUUGCCCAAACAAGCGCUCGCAAAUGCACAACAGACUCCUAGCAUAUGAUGCCUUGAGUUUUUCCAUGCUUCUCUUUAGUGAUUUUAUUGUGCUCACUUUCAUAAAAAAAUGAAUUUGUCUACUAUUUGUUGUUGCAUUCUUUAAAAGGUCUCUUGCUGCAACUCUCAAAAAAUGUUCACUUCUUUGAUACUUCAACUAUGUACAUAAAAAUGUUACCGAGCUUUGAUGUUGAGCCGUAAGCAUAGAAUUGAGGAUCAAACCAAAUGUUUUGGGGGGUGAUCUAUUGUGUCACCUCUCCGUCCUUUCCCCCCUCCCCCCAUUGAAUAAUGUGACAUCACAUGUCCAUGCCCGUGUGCUGAGCUAUUUUUGUGCCAUCUGUGAACAAGCAUUUACUGCACUGGUUUGUAAUUUGUAAUUGAUCUUUGUAACCUAUUUAGAAAGGAUUAUCAAGUUUUUCACACCUAUUUUCUUUCUUUUUACCUAAUUGUAGGUAUAUCCAGAGAUGUUAAUGUUUGCUUAAAGGAGAAUGAAACCUUUGGAACAAGAUAGCUUCUGUGAAAACAGAAAAAUCAAAGAAACAGAUCAACGAAAGUUUGAGUAAAAUCGGACAAAUAAUGAGAAAGUUAUGAGCAUUUGAAUAUUGUGAUCACUAAUGCUAUGGAGAUCCUCAAAUUGGCAAUGCGACAAAGAUGUGUGAUGUCACUUGUGAACAACUCUCCCCAUUACUUUAGUAAAUAUUGCCUCUUUUAUCACAUCUAUCAGUAGAUCAUGUUUUCUUUCUAUAGGAGGGCAUAUAAUACAGAUUUUUAAAGAAAUCAUCAUGUAUAAAGAGUUUGUAUCACCACAAGAAAAAGAAAAAAGAGACACUUUGAGGGUAUUUUAUAAUCCAUCAAAGGGAAAGUUGUUCACAUGUGACAUCACACAUCCUUGUCGAAUUGCCAAUGGGAGGAUCUCCAUAACAUUAGUGAUUGCAAUAUUCAAAUGCUCAUAACUUUCUCAUUAUUUGUCUGAUUUUUCUCAAACUUUCUUUGUUCUUAUUCUUUUAUUUUUCUGUUUCGACACAAGCCUACUUGUUCCAAAGGUUUCAUUUCCCUUUAGAUUAGCUUUUGUUUCAUUGAAGUAUUAAUGAACUGAAAUGGUUCAGUUUUAAAUAAAAGCGGGAUCCAUUCCCAUAGCUAUCUUGUCACAUGUUCUCUUGCUACUUGUUCCUUUGCUAGUUAGAGUAAGCAGAUAUGAUGUUCUUAGAAAUUAAAGACUGGAUAACGAAAAGCACCAUGAUUAUAAAUUUUUAGGUAUAUGAACUAUUCAUAUGAGCAUGAUUGUUGUAACAGAGUAUAUAGUUUUGAAGUUAUUAUGUUAUUUAUCUUUUCAUAUUCCUUUGUAGUUAUGCAUGACAUUUAUUUACUUCUCUUAUUUGCUUAAUUAGUAUGCUUCACAUACAACAAUUAAAAAUGUAUUUCAUGUCUCCCGAGUCAUGCUCUAGUGCCAUCAUGUUUUCAAGGAUGUGCAAGUGAUAGUUACAAAUGUAUUGCACUUCAAACAACCUUAGUACUUGGGGGAUGAUUGCAGUAUUAAAUUUUUCAUCCGUGACACAUAAUCAGCUGAUCUGUUUUUUUAAUAAUCUUAAGGCACGUGAAUGAGGAGGCAAAUGAAGCAUUACAGGGAGAGAAGAUUCCACAUCAUAGCCAAGGCUGUGAAAACUAAAACCCCCUAUUAAUAAUGUCAGCUGUAGAAAGUGUAGAUUUAUUUAAAUUUGUAUACCUUGCUUUGAUAUUUAAAAUUAUGAAUUUUAAGCAGAAAUGUCUCUCAAAUAUAUGUGGAUUUUCAUGACAGUGAUUUUCAUUUUUUGCACCAUUAUGAUUUUGUUGUAGCAAUUAACCAUGUAUAUAAUGUGAAGUCUACCAUCACAAGAUGCAAUUGCCUAAAGAAACAGGGGAUGUGCAUGGAUAUCAUUUAUGUAUCUUGUUUGGAGUUAUGCCAGAAUUCUUUUUUUUUUUCUUGAAAGAUAAUAAAGGGAUGUGUACAUGUAUUCUUCCCCAUCAUCUCCACUUAAGAAUCAUGUCCCUGAUAUUAUAUUGGGGUAAGCCCUGCAAUAAAUGGCAUGUACUCAUGCAUUAGAGAAAUGAGAUAACUAAAGAGGAGUAAAAUUUUCAUUUGUUGCACAUGUAUUUUGAUUGAUAACAUUUCAAAAUAAAUAUUAAAAAAAAACAUUUCAAAAUCAUGUA